rnacentral:rRNA from 1 species
UACAGGGGGUGCAAACGUUGCUCGGAAUCAUUGGGCGUAAAGCGCACGUAGGCGGUUCGUUAUGUCGGAUGUGAAAGCCCUUGGCUUAACCGGAGGAAGUGCAUCCGAAACUGGCGAGCUAGAGUACUAAAGAGGAUCGCGGAAUUCCUGGUGUAGCGGUGAAAUGCGCAGAUAUCAGGAGGAACACCAAUGGCGAAGGCAGCUCGCUGGGACGGUACUGACGCUGAGACGCGAAAGCGUGGGGAGCAAACAGG